rnacentral:rRNA from 1 species
AGUGAACGCUGGCGGUAGGCCUAACACAUGCAAGUCGAACGGCAGCACAGUAAGAGCUUGCUCUUACGGGUGGCGAGUGGCGGACGGGUGAGGAAUACAUCGGAAUCUACUUUUUCGUGGGGGAUAACGUAGGGAAACUUACGCUAAUACCGCAUACGACCUACGGGUGAAAGCAGGGGAUCUUCGGACCUUGCGCGAUUGAAUGAGCCGAUGUCGGAUUAGCUAGUUGGCGGGGUAAAGGCCCACCAAGGCGACGAUCCGUAGCUGGUCUGAGAGGAUGAUCAGCCACACUGGAACUGAGACACGGUACAGACUCCUACGGGAGGCAGCAGUGGGGAAUAUUAGACAAUGGGCGCAAGCCUGAUCCAGCCAUACCGCGUAGGUGAAGAAGGCCUUCGGGUUGUAAAGCCCUUUUGUUGGGAAAGAAAAGCAGCAGGUUAAUACCCCGCUGUUCUGACGGUACCCAAAGAAUAAGCACCGGCUAACUUCGUG